rnacentral:rRNA from 1 species
UACGUAGGGGGCAAGCGUUGUCCGGAUUUAUUGGGCGUAAAGAGCGUGUAGGCGGCUUUGCAAGUCCGUUGUGAAAUCCCGGGGCUCAACCUCGGAACUGCCUUUGAUACAGCACGUCUCGAGUCCGGAAGAGGUGGGUGGAAUUCCUAGUGUAGAGGUGAAAUGCGUAGAUAUCGGGAGGAACAUCAGUGGCGAAGGCGGCCUUCUGGUCCAGUACUGACACUCAAGUGCGAAAGCGUGGGGGGCAAACAGG